rnacentral:tRNA from 1 species
GCCCGGAUGGUGGAAUCGGUAGACACAAGGGGAUUUAAAAUCCCUCGGCCAUAGGCUGUACGAGUUCAAGUCUCGUUCCGGGUACCA